UUGUACAUUUUUCCCAGGCCACACGAUCACCCACUUAGAUCAAUGUCACUCCAAACUGGAGGCUAUCAGUGAGUGUUCUCAGGCCUCUCCUCACCCCACCAACUUCCUCAGCACCUCCAUCCAUACAGUGUGGAGAGCAGAGGAGUGGGUUGGGAUUUAUGCUGCAUUGCUCCAGCAUCUUUCAUCUCUUCCCCUUGUCAUCAUUUUUGAAAGUUUGUGGUUUCUGGGGUUAAGGAAGGUUGAGUUUGUGGAAGUCCGUGUAGUGGCAGCAAAUUAUCAUAAAUGUUUUUCACAGUGGAGAUGCUCUCUGAAUAGAUCUAAAAUCAGAGAAGGAAAGUUGACUUGUAGAGUGAUCUAGAACAGUAAACUUUAGUUAUCCUAUAAUCACCAGAAACAAUUUGCUUAGAUUAAAAUUCAGCCUUCUGCACAAAGUGUUUUGUAAAAACAACAACAACAAAAAGAUUCAAUUGCAUUGAUUUUAUGCUUGCUUGAGAAAGGACUCAUGAGUCUAUGAGGGUGGAACACAGAUGAAGCAGUCUUAGAUAUUUCUUAACCCAGACCUUAUGCCUCUGUGGCCAUUGUAGCCAGAAAGUGCACUUUGAGGACCACUUUUUCAGGGAGCAGUGACUGAAUAAACACGAGCUGUGGUGGCAGGGAAUUGUAGACCUCUAUUACUUUUGUCUGCUCAGCUCUUCUCCUUGUUACAUAGUAACAGAGCUUGACCUCCUGGCCAAAAGGAUGGGCACACAACCCAAGCUAGGGGAAUCAAAGUCCUCUUCUAGGAUUUUUUCAAAUUGGAGCUGGGAGAGAGCUGCCUGCUUUUCUUAAUGUCAGAGUGCUCUGAAGGUGUAAGCCAUGGUCCACAGUGAAAGUGAAUCUGAAGCGAAUGAAACCAGCAUAAGGAACCACAAGAAGAAGAAAGAGCUCAGGGUUCCAGUAAUUUCUGAAGCUGGCUCCAUCCCUGCUUUUCCCAUGACUUGGUUAUUGAGUUGAUUAAUUCUGCUCUUGACUACGCUCAUUUAUAUUGGGCUUGGAGAGUGUGCAGUGCCUCCUGACUAACGGAAGGCAGAACCACUCCUCAGGGAUGCAGAUGUAUGAGACUGGAUAACUGUACAACCACAUUCAUCACCUUGGCCCUGCACUCUGAUUCCUAAAGAAUCUGAGGCAUUGCUUGUCAUGGGAGACUGGAGUGCAGAUUCUUUGAAUUAGCAUUUCAGUGUGACUGUUGUUGCUUUAGUAAGCCUGGUCUCUAUUCUUAACUUUCGAUAUUUGAUUUUACAAAAAUGGUUAUUAAAGUAGAUGAUUGAGAGAUUAAGGUAUCAGAAGAAAGAUGAAUCUAUUCAGUUUUCCUGUAGAGAAGGCUAAUCCUCAAGAUGUGUAAUGUGGCUGUGGUGUCAGGCUGCUGUGAGUAGGAAGGGCCCUGAGGAACUAAUCCUCAUCUCCUCAAAGCCAUUGUAAACCCUUCAUGGGGCCGAGCCAUUCCUGGUCCUCAGUGUUGGCCAAGGGAUCCUUCAAGUUCGCUCAGGCUUGAUCCCACUGCCUUUCCCUCCUAGGCAUGUGCAUCUCUACAAGGGGUUGGAUGUAAGGUAUGAGUGAAAGAAGGGACAUGUGGAUGGCCCUACCCUAGACCAGUAAAACAGAUUCUCUAGGAGGUAGGAUGAAGUCCUCAUAGGGUUUCCCAGCUCCUCAGAUGAUUCCAGUGGGCAACCAGGGUUGAGAGCCAUUGCAUUAUGCUAUGCUACCUGCCUCAAUGCUAUUUCUAGUUUCUCAGAGUCAUCUUCACGUCCCCUUCUUUACUCUUACCUUACAUUCAACCCCUAGCAUAUCCUGUUGGACUUACCUUCAAAAAUGUGUCCAGAACCCCACCACUGCUUAUGGUCUCCACUGCUACUAUCCUGCAUGCAUCUCCUAGCUGGACUAUUCAGUUGCCUUGUUUCUGAUCUUCCUGCAACUAUCCUCACCCUGCCCCACAGUCCUCUAUCAAUACAACAGCCUGAUGAUUUUGCAGUAUGGGAGCCAUCUCAUCAGAGUAAAACUCAAAGUCCUGUCCAGGGUCUACAGUAUCCUCUCUGAUAUGGCUUCCUUUCCUCUCUGGCUUCAGGUCCUACCAAUUCUCCUCCCUACUUUCUCUGCAGCCAGACUGGAUGCUUAGCUGUUAUGGAGCAUGUAAACAGUCUUCUGCCCCAGGGCCUUUGCACUUGCUAUUCCCUCUGCCUCACAGCUCACUUGUUCAGUUUCUUUGUGUCUGCUCACAUAUCCCCUUUUCUAAGAGGCUGUCCCAGACUACCCAUCUACAGUAGCAGCCUCUCACUGUGCUAUAUUGGUCUCGCUCCCUGGAGAAGCCUUUACUCUCCAUCCCUUCACCUUUCUUCUUGGCACCUAAUACCACCUAAUGUAUUUAUUUAUUUUGUCUGUCUUUCUUCACUAGAAUGUCAGUUCCAUGAGAGCAAGGACUUGGUUUUGUUCACUGUUCUCUCCCUAGAACCCAAAAUAGUAUCUCUUCAAUGAUCAUUUGUAGAAUAAAUGAAUAUUAUGC
rnacentral:lncRNA from 10 species